ensembl:lncRNA
CCCAGCCCAAACUAUCCCUGACAGGGUCUCUCUGCUGCAGGAACUGACCUGUGAGAAAGACACGAUCUCAUCUAAGCUGAGAGAAAUCUGGACCCACAGACAUUCUGGCAGCACUUCCACACUCCCUAUUUUGGUUCCUGAGAUACUCUAAUUUCCCUACGUCCUUUGCUGGGCUGUUUCCCUAAUUCAAAAGAAGAGCAUGCUGCAAGGCAAUGAUCCUUAACUUUGAGAGUUACAGACCCCUGUGAGAAUACCCGGUGUACGCAAUGGACAGAAAUGCUUAGAGAACCUCUGCUGGGAGAAGCCUCAGGUGGCAGGAGAAAGGUGAAGGCUUAGGCUGCCUGUGCUCUCCAGGUCCAUUAGAGGCAAAGAGUAAAGGCUAGGAAGGGCUAUGGUGUGAAGUA